UACGUAGGGUGCAAGCGUUGUCCGGAAUUAUUGGGCGUAAAGAGCUCGUAGGCGGUUUGUCGCGUCUGCCGUGAAAGUCCGGGGCUCAACUCCGGAUCUGCGGUGGGUACGGGCAGACUAGAGUGAUGUAGGGGAGACUGGAAUUCCUGGUGUAGCGGUGAAAUGCGCAGAUAUCAGGAGGAACACCAACGGCGAAAGCACUCUGCUGGGCCGACACUGACACUGAGAGACGAAAGCUAGGGGAGCGAAUGGG
rnacentral:rRNA from 1 species